GAUGUCAUGUGACGCCGGGAGCUGGCGGAGCCGCACGUGUGCCGGAGGGAGAGACGGACCCCGGAGCAGGCUCGCCCUCCGGGGCAAGGUUUCAGGUCAUGGCUGCAAUUUACUCUGGGAUUCACCUGAAGCUAAAAAGUGUGAAGACACCAUGGGAAGACAAACUGAAAUUGGCUCGAUUUGCCUGGAUUUCACACCAGUGUUUUUUGCCCAACAAGGAACAGGUUUUACUCGACUGGGUGAGUCAUGCAUUAACUGGAUAUUACAGCAAGAAGCUCCAGUUUGGAGGUGAAAUUGUGGAAGGACUGUGGUCCUAUCUGGAUGAUGUUCUUCACAGCAAAAAGCUGCAGAAGCUGAUGGAGAAAGGGAAGGUCAUCACCAUUCGCUUCACAAUUCCUCAGAUCAUAAACGAGAGGAUCUUGACAUGUUCCAAUGAAGAGCCCCUGAAUGUUGAUGCAUCAAUUCUUCCCGUGGUGCUGAGCUGCUGUCAAGGAAUUCUCGCAUUUCCUGCCUUUUCCAUCAUCUACACCAGCAAGUGUGAGCUGCUGGUUGACCUACUCUGCAAACUCUGCUGGCUGGCCUGCAGGAGGUUGAAAUCAUCGGAAGCCUUGCACUCUGCACAGCUCUUUGAUGUUCUUUUGCUGGUGUUUAAUCAGUACCUCGUCCUGCAAAGGCAACAGACCAACCAAUCCCGGAUGUUUCUGCAGGUCUGCGGCUCUCUCCUCCAGCCCUUUCUCCUCCUGCGCCAUCUGCUGUCCUCAAGGUGUUGGAUGGGUGAAGAUGAGGUGUCAGUGCGGCAACGCCUCAGCAAGGAGAUAUGCAGUAGAAUCCAGACAGUACUUCAGAAUGGUCUGUUCCACACUGAUUUCUUGAACUCUUACAGAGAGGAGCUCUUGCAGAGUGAUGGCUCUCAGGGGAAGAAGACAGGCUUUUCCAAAGGCUUGACAGCGCCUAUUGAAACAAUAUUGCUAAAGUUAGCCGAUGCUGCAUUCUUUGGCUCUGAUCUGCACUCUGCUGUUGUGGCCAGUUCAGUACCAAUGCUUUACAAGCUGUCUGUUGAGUCCUACUGCAAGGAUGGAAACCAGCUUCUCUGUUUCCACAUCUUCACCAAAUUCCUCGACUCCCUACGGUUCCCAGAGGCCAAGAGCGCCGAGGACAGAGUGUCCAUGGAAUGGAAUCCGGGGCUACUGGCUCUGGAUCAGCUCCUGAAUUUGAUCUUCACCAACAACAUCUACAACAUCUCAGUGGACAAGAUCCGGUGUGAGGGAGUGCAGUUCACUUGCUACAGCAGAGUGGCGGAAAUGCUGCUGACCCACCCCCGCCCAGGCACCGCGGCUUGGUUUAGAUGCCUGAGGACCUUGAUCCUAUUGAACCACUUGAUCAUGGAGCCAAACCUAGACGAGCUGGUGUCAUUGGCGUGGGUUGACGCUGAUGUCAGCGACCCGAGGGCGAAGAAAGCCCAAGACUCGUUGCUGAGCACCCUACUGGAGACCUACACCAAACUGCGGCAGUUGCCCAGGGUGUUCAAGGAGGUGCUGGACGUUGUCUCUCGCCCAGCUGCUGAUGAGUUGAGGCAGUCCAUCCUGUCCAGCAGCCUCUCAAAGAAGCUGCAAGAAUGCCUCCUGGAAGUAACAAACAGUCAAGUCUUGGACAUUUGGGAUCUGAUCUUGAAGAACCUGGAAUUACUGAUUCCCGAUUUGGUGGGGAACUCUGACACAGCAUUGAAAGUUCUCACAAUGAGUUCCUUGCUGCACACUAUCCUUUUCAACAUGAAGACUCUCGAUAGCAAAACGCCAGUGCCGGUAAUUCUGUCCACUCAGGCCCUGAUGAACAGGACGGUUCAAGCAGCAGUGAUGCCGCUCUUACACACAGGCAAGCAUGCCGAUGGCACGGGCUCUUCGGUGUGGGCCAUGCGUGCCAUGAGCGCGGGGCUGAUCCUCAGCUCCACCUGGGUGGAAGUCGAUCACCUGCUGCAGCUGAACUGCAGCAAGUACGUCUCACCCUCCAGCCAGGCCGACGGAGCGGGGGCAGAGGCUUGGAAUUUCUGCUGCCUCCUCCCGCAGGUGAGCGCAGCGGAGUGGAAGCUGGUGGCUGAGGUGACGGGACAGGGCGGCGAGUUAAGCCAGCACUUCCUCCAGCUGCUAUCGGUGCAGAAGAUGAAAAGGAUCAUGAUGCGGCCCGGGGAGCAGACAGAGGCGGAGGGGCUGAGCCUGAGGUCCUCCGCAGCCUUUGUCGUCUCUUCCGGGAAAGCUGCUGUCCAAAGUGCCAGGGCACGAGGAUGGGAUAGAGAACUCAGCACGCUGAAUGGAGAAACCUGCGGUGUGGCGCACUGGCAUCUGGUCACCACCAACCUCGCCCUCCUGGUCCCCUGUCUCCCACAGGAAGAGGUCACUUAUAUCGCUGAGGUGGUGAUCACCAACCUCUUGCAGAAGGGCACUCGGGAGGUGGGGCAGGACACAGGAACCUUGCUUUCCAUUCCAGCCAUGUGUGAGAGUUUGCUUAACAGCACUCUUCUUCCGGAAAUCCAGGCUCUGCACCAGGCGAUUUUACUUGGUCUGACCCAGAGGGUGAGACAGCUAGUCAUCGCCCCUGGAGAGGGUUUGCCCACAGGGUUACUGAAACAGCUGGCAGCAAGUGUCCAUGCCACUCGGGGUGAGGGCCACCAAAGCAGCAGCAGCAAUUGGGGACUGCUGUUCUCUCAUCCAAUGCCCUCUCAGGGGACCUCACCCCUUGAUUCACCCCAGAGCAUAUUCUCAUCAAUAAAAAGCCCUUCUCUUCUCACCUUGUCGGUGGAGCGGUUGGAUGCCCUCUUGCAAAUUUUGGACGUGCUCUCUGCUCUGAGGCUGGACAGCCUCUCGUGUACCGAUCAUCUCCAAUGCUUUCUCUUGCUGGUGUCCCUGGUCACCAACCUCAAGCCCAGCUCUGAAGAGAGUCAGGCCUCCAAGUACCUGCAAGUUUUAGGUAAAUGCUACUUCCUCCUCACUGUCUUGGUGACAGGCACCAAAGGGAAGGCAGUCUUCAGGUUGGCACACGCUGGAGAUGUUCUAGAGAAGGUCAUCGCUCCUUUGUUUCUCGUGAGCAGUGAGUUGUCCCCCUCCCUGGAUUGCCCAGCUUGGCCAGAACUUCUCCACACCCUCCAAUGUUUUCUUAGUAACUUUGUCCAGAAGAUUGUUGAAAGGAAGCAAAGCAUGUGCCUAAACUUGGAGCAAUUCAUUGCUUUCCUCUCAAACACCUGGGUGAAUGCAAAGGUCAACGAGGAAUGCAAGCUCGUGGUCGAGCAACUGCUCAUGGUUGCCCUGUUGACGUUGAGUUGUGUCAUCCAAACCACACUGCAGCAGUCUGAAAAGAACAGACACAAGAGCAGUACCCUGCCGUCUCUUCUGACCCAGCUCUCUGGUCUCUUGGGCCCUGUUCUCCAGUCACAUUUCGACAGAAGUGGAUUAGAUUGGACGUUCAUUGUGCCUUGUGCCACUGCCCUCUUGGAGGCAGAGCUGUGUCCAAGAGAGCAGCAAAGUGAUGCGGUCAGUGAGGGAAGGAGUCCAGAUGAGACGGGCCUGAAGUACAGUAACUUGUACCAGAGCAUUUGUUCCCAGGUUCUGCACCAACUCACCACCUCCACUCAUGAGCUGGACCCACUUCGUAAACAACUUGAAUUUUUGCGAGUGUUUUGUUCAUCCUUAGAACUUUGCUCUGAUCACAAUAUCAAGACUGGAAUCCCCUCCAUCUUCUGUGCUGUAAAAGCCCUGCUGGCAGCCCCAUGGAUAACAUCACAGUUCAUUCAAUCGCUGGAUACUCAGCUAAUUGGGCUGGUCACCUGCAUGUCUGAAAGGUGCACAGACCAUCAGUUUUACCUUCUUGUAAAGUCGAUCACACAGGGCAUUGAGGUUGCCAACCUUUGGAAAGGAAGGCAUCUGGAUGUUGUGUCCUCACUGAUCCUGACCACUAUCCUUAUGAAGUGUUCGUUAAUGGAAAAUGCAGAAAAGACAGUGUGGUUUACAGCUCCUCAGAUUAUCACAGCACUCCUGGUUUUAUGCAAGAAAACAGCUCUAGAUGAACCUUUGGGCUGCAAGAUUACUUUGCUGAGUUUGGAAGCUUUGGCAGUUCUGAUCCAACAAGGGGAGGGAAUACUCUCCAAUCCACAUUACGUGACACUUGCAUUCGAUGCUCUCUUGUGCAUUCCACUUGACCAGCUAAAACUGGAUGAAUAUGCAAGUUUUUUUCAAGCUAUCCAUGAGGUGCUGUUUUCUAUUAUACAGUCUCAGCCUAAGGUUUUGCUCAAUGCAGCACCAACCUUCCUCAAGUGUUUUAACCGUCUUGUCCUUUCCGUUAUUCAUAAAAGUCGUCAAAAAGGUGCUGGAGAGAAAGGUAUGAUAACGGAAAAUGAAGUGAUCCUGGACUGUGCACGUCAGGUAGAAAGGAUGUACACUCACAUUGCUUCAAAACCAGAGGAAUUUGCAAUGUUUUCUGCUUUCAUGGUGGCAGAGUACAUCAAUGAACUUCAAAAGGUUACCCUUAAUGCAGACGUGAAAAAACUCUUGACGGGUGGAGUAUACCACCUCCUGGAUCUGGUCACGGAAAGUGAUCUCCGCUUUCUGAAUGCUUUGUUGCAGUUGGGAGUGAGGGAGGUAUUUAAGGAGUUGCACAGUGAUUAUGUGCGUUAUCACAAGAGUAAAAGACAAGGUGAAGAGGAGUACACGGCUUAACCUGGAUGCAAACCUCAUUCCCUGUGCCUCUGGAUAUUUUCACAACGUUGCCCGCUUUGGAUCAAGGGAAUCAGAUACUGGCGAGCUAAGUGAUUAUGGGGGCAUCAUCUACUCGUGCACUUCAUAAGUGAGCUGAAAUGUUACUGAUCUCUGCAUUCUCCUCGUGGUAGAGGUGACAGCAAAGUUGCUGGUUUUAACUGCCCCAACUAAAAUAAUCUUUAUUGAGAGACUUCUAGCAUCUAGAAAAAUAGUUGGGAUAUAAAAUGGAUGCAGCUUUCUCGUCAAUGGAUAUAAUGAAGCAUGGACACAAUGUGGAACAAGAUGCAACAUGACCACUCUAAUAUUCCGUGAUCCACCGACAAGUAUAGGUACUCUACACAUCUUGCUGCCUUCGGAAAUCAUCUUUUCCUGUGUGUGAAAGAUAGCUCCUGUCCAAGGUACAAUGACUGUUGGUGUUAAGGCUAACAAACAAAAUCUGAGUGUAAAAGACACAGAAGUUGGUAAAAGCCAGAAGUGCAUAGAUCAGCUGCUGUCAGAAGGGGAAGAAUAGAUUGUCUUUUGUCAGAAUGUUAAGCUGUUCCUGCCUCCAGGUUGCAUUCUUAUUUUAUUUUCCAGAUUUCUAUCCAAACACAAACUUUUCCCCUUUUUUUUAAAAGUAAAAGAAUAUAUAUAUUGACAUACUCAAAACUUUAAAGGCAACAAAUGGUUCUGCUAAGAAAAUUAUAUUUAUACCGGAGCUUAUACUGAGAUUAUAAAUGACUGCACUUAUCAUGAAUACCAGGAGUCUACAGUGGCAGGGAAAUUGUGCUCGAUGUACAACCUGUCAGAACUCCACAGUGGCACUAGGAAAUGGGCCAGAGUAGGUUUCACUUCAUCUUCAUGUUACCAGUUGGUCAAAGAAUGACUCAACUUUUGAAUAAAGCAAAUUCCUGUUGUUGUAUGGAAUUUAGUCUGAUAUCCAUGCCUGGUAACUUUAAUGAUACUUUAAUCAGAAUUAUUAUAACUGACUUAGAUGAUGUGAAACUUGUUGUUUUGCAGCAGCAGUACAGUACAAAGACAUAAAAUUACUAUAAAUUACAAAAAUAAAUAAUGCAAAGAAAAAGGAAUUGUCAUUGACACCUGUGAUAACUAAGGGACUGCUGAACUUAAAUUACAUAAUUAAAAAGUACAUAACUCAGCCAGCCAGGCCUCCAUCCAAGUUCGAUGCAUCUGAAGCACAGUUGCUUCAAGUCAGCAAGACUUGAGGAAAGGCCAAGGUUCAGUAAGAUGAAUUUGAUAAACAUUUUUCUUCAAUACUUCCUUCCCUAAUCAUCUACAUUAAGUUAUCCUUGUCAAUUACCAUAUUUCCUUUCAUUGCUUUUGCACAUAAAUUAAUCAAGCCUCAUUUCCUUUUAACCAGUUCUGUUCAACAAAUCCUGUUACACAUUCUCUCACUUAUUGCCUCCCCAGCUAUCAAAUCUUGCUCAAUCUAUGCAAGCACGCCAGAACACAAUCAACACACAUUUCUCCUUUCCAACUGCCGAUCAUUGCUCCAUUCUAUUUAUAAGUAAGCCUAAAGAUAAUUAGGCUGUUUUUUUUUGCCUGGAGCAUUGGAGGCUGAGGGGUGUUCUUAUAGACGUUUAUAAAAUCACUAGGGACAUAGAUAGGAUGGAUGGUCACAGCCUUUUUCCCAGGGUAUGGGAUUCAUAAACUAGAGGGCAUAGGUUUAAGGUGAGAGGGGAAAGAUUUAAAGGGGACCUGAGGGGCAACUUUUUCUUUCAUACAGAGGGUGGUGGGUAGGUGGAAUGAGCUGCCAGACAAGACCACAAGAUAUAAGAGCAGAAUUAGGCUAUUUGGCCCAUCAUAUCUGCUCCACCAUUCAAUCAUGGCUGAUUUUUGUUUUUGUUUUCAAUCCCAUUCUCCUGUCUUCUUCCCUUAACCAAUCUUCUUUUAUGUAAAUAAAAUGGAGGGUUAUGGGCUAUGUAAGAGGGAAGGGUUAGAUUGACCGUGGAGUAGGUGUUUAUAUAGGUCGGCACAACAUCGGGGGCUGAAGGGCCUGUGCUGUACUGUUCUAUGUUCAAUCAAGAACCCAUCAAUUUCUGCCUUAAAUUCAUCUAAUGACUUGGCCUCCACAGCCCUCAGUGGCAACAAAUUCCACAGAUUCACUGCCCUCUGGCAGAAGAAAUUCCUCCUCAUCUCAGUUCUAAAGGGGCAUUUAUUCUUUAUUCUUAGGCUGUGCCCACCUCUGAGGAAGUGGCAGAGGCAGGUACAAUUACAAUGAUAAAAGACAUUUGGACAGGUACAUGGAUAGAAAAGGUUUAAAGGAUACGGGCCAAACACGGACAAAUGGGAUUAGCUCAGGUAGACAACUCGGUCACCAUGGACGAGUUGGGCAGAAGGGCCUGUUUCCAUGCUGUAUAACUCUGACUCUUCACACACUGCCUGACACCACCAGCAUUUUUUGUUUUUUUAAAUUGGUAAUAAGUUCAAGCUUGUAUCAACUCAAAGCUCCAACAACUGUCCAUUUCAUAGAAAACUUGUCAAGAAAUGAGUCCUCAGCUACCUCUGAAAUGUCGGCAAAGAUUUGACAGGAGCAAGGGUUUAAGAUGUGUACCGUGCGUGAAACUGUGGCAGGUCAUUUGGAAAAGGCACCGAGUUACUGAAACCACAGACAAGAAAAAAGCUAUGAAUGCAUUUGGCAGAAUUUACAUCAAAAGCCUGCAUUUAUAAAGCACAUUUAACAUAGUAAAACAUCCCAAGACACAUAAGAGCAUUAUCAGAUGCUAUUUGAUGCAGAGACAUGAAAGGAAACACUGAAACGUGUCCAAAGGAUUUAAGGAGCAUCUUAAAGAAGGAGCUGGAGAGGUUUGGGAGGCAAAUUGCAGAGCUUAGGGUUGAGGCAGCUGAAAAGUGACAUCUGACCUGUAAGCAGCUUUCCAAUGUAAUGUUUGUUUGCAGGUGAGAAACAGUGAAUGGUGAGGAGAGAUGCCCAGUAAUAAUAUCCAACUAAAGAUACAAAUAAUAGGGGUCCAUGAGUGGCCAAACACAAACAUUCUUCCUGCUUCAAAUGGUUGAGGGCAAAGGAGAAGUAUGCUACCCACCUUCCAACUGUAAUUAGCUUCAUAUAUUUAGAUAAGAUAGUUAAUCAAAAGGCAAAUAGCCUGGGGAAAUCACUCCUGGUUCAAUAGCAGAACCACCAAGUCUUUACGCUUUCAUGGAUAAAACAUUGAUGGCUGAUGGGGGUCUUAAAUUUUUAUGUAGAGGAGAUACACCCAUACAUGGGUGAGUUCAAAAAUGGGAGCCAUGAAUAUAAGAUGGUCAACAAUAAUUCCAACUGACAAUUCUGGAGAAAUUUCUUUACCUUGUGUACGGUUUGAAUACUGAGCUUUCUACCACAUAGAGCAACUGAGACAAAUAGCAUAGAAGCUUUUUAAGAGAAACUUGGACACGCACAAGGGGUAGAACAGAAGUUAUAGUUAGUUGAAACAGCGAGGUGAAUGUGUGAUAUACACUUGCACUAGCUUGAUGGAAUACUCUCCACUUGCUGGGAUGAGUGCAGCUCUAACAACUUCCAAUAAUCUCAACACCUUACAGGUCAAAGCCAGCUGUCCACCAUCCUACAUGUGCAUUCCCCCCCAGGAAUGGCACAGAGUGGCUGCAGUUUGUACUAUUUACAGUUAUUCACCCAGACUACUUCCCCAAACACAAAGCCUCUAGUAUCAAGGCCCAGGGCAGCAUGGGAACAACAUCACCACCAAUGGCUCUCCCCUGUGGCUGGGUCUAAAUCUGAGAACUCCCUCCUCAACAGCACUGUGGGAGUACCUUCACCAGAAGGAUUGCAGAAGUUUAAGGCAACAGCUUACCAACACCUCAAGGGCAAUCAGAGUUGGGCAAUAAAUGCUGGCCUCUCCAGCAAUGCUCAUGUCCUGAAGACGAAUGAAAAAUAAAUGUCGGUUGGACCAAAUGACUGUUUCUAUGAUGCAUGUCCUGUGCAGGGAUCAUGGGCUCAGAAGCAAUAGAAGUGCCGUGGGCACAUUAGUGUACAGUUUAUUGAUAUUGGUAGCUGAUUAAAUACAAAUGUGAACAAAAGUACAUGGGGCGGGGGAGGAAAGGGGGAGGCAGAAAUGAGUUUACUUCCUCA